rnacentral:lncRNA from 1 species
GGCAUGUGGCUCCUGCGGUGGCCGCCGCCCCCACUCAGAGGAGCCUGUGGGCCUCCUCGGACUGCCCUGUGAAUCCUCUACCCAGAUGCUACAGACAGGAACGCUUUCCACGUGGGAAACCAUCUGCUCCACCCACCUCAUGCCCUGGGAAAAGGAUCCCGUUCCUUGGGCUCUGUGGAGUGAGAUACCACUGACUGCAAUCCCAAGAAGGAUGUGGCUUUCCCAUGUCUCUCCUGAGAACCUGCCAGCAGCACUUAUGAACUGUUAGCACCCGUAAUUUCUGCCUUGAAUAACCAUCAGCAAGGUGCCGGGUAUGCAAAGACCCUUGCCAUUUUGUCUGUGUGCUCCACUAUCAGCUACCUCUGCCCUGCUGAGGUCCUGGAGAGCCGUGGCAUGGGCUGUGGUCCUGAGGUCAGCCUCCCCUACAGCCCGCAGCCCUCCCUGACCUGAGGGAGCCCAAGUGCCCCUGCUGAGAAAGUGGCCUCCUGGUUCCACCCUAGGUACUCAGGUGCGGUCCCACUUCCUGCAGUUGAGGACUUGCCUUUUCUGAGAAGUAUGUUGAGAUUGCACUUAGAGACUAAAGCGGCACUUAGAGACUGAAGUGGCGCUAGGCAAAUUAUCGGGCAGCUCUCCGAGUGCAGGUGCUGACUACACCAUUGCACCUGGCCUUGAAAUUCACCCACUCAAGGUUCCAGGUGAGACGGAUGCUGCCAGUCCACCCACCAGUUGUGCAGAAGCCAG